rnacentral:rRNA from 1 species
UUGCGAAAGUGUGGCUAAUACCGGAUGACACCAUCGGAUCGCAUGGUCCGGUGAUCAAAGGUGGGGACCUUCGGGCCUGCCGGUUUGGGAUCAGCCUAUGUCCUAUCAGCUUGUUGGCGGGGUAACGGCCCACCAAGGCGACGACGGGUAGCGGGCGUGAGAGCGUGACCCGCCUCAUCGGGACUGAGACACUGCCCGGACACCUACGGGUGGCUGCAGUAACGAAUAUUGGGCAAUGGGCGCAAGCCUGACCCAGCAAUGCCGCGUGCAGGAGGAAGCCCUUCGGGGUGUAAACUGCUGUCAGGGUUUCGCAAGCAAUGCCGGUUAAUAGCCGGCGGCGCUGAGCAGACCCAGAGGAAGUCUCGGCUAACUCUGUGCCAGCAGCCGCGGUAAGACAGAGGAGGCGAGCGUUGUUCGGAAUUAUUGGGCUUAAAGCGCGUGUAGGCGGCUUGGUAAGUGUUCCGUGAAAGCCCACGGCUCAACCGUGGAACUGCGGGGCAUACUGCCCGGCUUGAGGUCGCUAGGGGUGCCUGGAACUCUAGGUGGAGCGGUGAAAUGCGUAGAUAUCUAGAGGAACGCCAGAGGCGAAAGCGAGGCACUGGAGCGAUUCUGACGCUGAGACGCGAAAGCGUGGGGAGCAAACAGGAUUAGAUACCCUGGUAGUCCACGCUGUAAACGAUGCACACUGGAUCUGGCGACUCUGACGGUUGCCGGGUCGUAGCGAAAGCGUUAAGUGUGCCGCCUGGGGACUACGGCCGCAAGGCUAAAACUCCAAGGAAUUGACCGGGGCUCACACAAG